CAUCUGAUUCUUAAAUAGAAAAGUGAAGGUAAAAAUUGGGACUGUCUUGUUCUGUGCUCAGGUCUUGCACAGGUAAUUUGCGGUAGAUCUCAUUUAUAUGUAUGUAAAUAUUGCAGCCACUCUUCCUCAACCCACAAGGGCAGAGAUGAACCUGUAGCCAUCCUGGUAUCCCAGCCUCUGACACAACACCUGGCACAAGCAGAUGCACAUUUAGUAAAUGUCAUUUAAUGAAAGAAUCCUAGACCUUAAAACCAGAAUUCUUUCCAAUACAAAAGGGAUGCUCAUACUUCAGCAUGCAUCAGAAUUAUCUGGAAAUCUUGUUAAAACACAGAGUGCUGGGCCCUACCCCCAGAACUUUAAAUUUCAUAGGUUCUGGGGUAGGCCCAAGAAUCCGAAUUUCUAGCAGGUUCCCAGGCGAUGGUGAUGCUGCUGAUCUGGGACCAGACUUGGAGAACCACUGUGCUAUCACAGACUGUCUCCAGGUGGAAGGAUGCAAGGGCUGCCUGCAGCCACACAUCAGCCAUCCAGCCAUAACCAAGACUUAAAAGAAUGCUCCAAAAGAUAGCGAAAAGAGUCGCAACUGAUACAGUUGGUGGAGAGCUCAAAGGACCAAGAAUGCUUUGGCUUAUUAAUUACGAUUUUGUCCAGUAUUGGGACUUGCUGACAGGACUGCAAAAGUCAUAUUUCCAUUAUUGGUAUCUUCAAAGGUCAUAGAAUUUGGUCAUGGAGGCCAGAUUAGCACACAGGAAGUGGAAAAGAGUAUGUACAGUUGAAUAACAAAAUGUGUGGAACUGAGAAGUUCUAUGGGAAUUAGAGAAGGGAUGGACAGAUGUCAACUAGACUACAGGAAAUCUAGGUUUGAGGCCUUAAAGGGUGGUAUUUAGGGUAUGUAUUGCUAUAGAGCAAACCACCCCAAAACUUAGUGGCUUAAAACUACUAUUGUUAUCUCUUGGUUCUGUAGCUGACUGCACUCAACUGAAUGGUCCUGCCUGAGAUGGCUCAUGUGGUUAGUCAGGAAGCAGCUGAGACUGGGGGGCCCUCAAGGCUCUGCUGGGCUAGUUGUCUAAGAUGGCUUCUCACUCACAUGCCAGUGCCUUAGCUUCCUCCACAUAGCUUGUUUGCCUGGACUUUCUUUUUUUUUGCUUUUUAGCGCCACGCCUGUGGCACAUGGAGGUUCCUAGGCUAGGAGUCCAUUCGGAGCUACAGCUGCCAGCCUAUGCCACAGCCACAGCAAUGCAGAAUCUAAGCCACAUCUGCGACCUACACCACAGCUCACGGCAACACCAGAUCCUUAACCCACUGAGCAAGGUCAGGGAUCAAACCCGCAACUUCAUGGUUCCUAGUCAGAUUCUUUUCUGCUGAGAAGAAACUGAUGGCAGCCAUCUUUGGAGACAAGCCACCACAGAUGGGCAGGCAUGGCAAGCAACCCACAGCACGAAGAUGCAAGAACCAGAUGAGGGCCAAAAGGAGAUCUGAAAGCUUGUGUACGAGAAAAAUCCACGUAGUUGAAAACUGAAAGGAAGAGUCUGGGUCUGAUCUGGUAAACACUGGGGAGUCACUGCAAGUUCUUAGGAAGCAAAGUGGCUUUUAUUCACUGGGCACACCCACAAGUACUGUUUGCCUCCUGGCAUCAGGGCCGAGUGGUGUAUAUACAAACACACACAAGGCAGGCACGGGCUAGCUGCCACAGAUCAAAGUUCAGUGGGAGAUGCACAUGAUAAAGACGCAACUGCAGUUCAAUGUGAUGACUUUAAAAAAGGGGAAAGGGUAGGGUGUUAGGAGAGCAUUUAACUCAGAUAAAGAGGCAGGAGGGAAGAGGAGGGGUAACCCAAUGUUUUUUCUUUUUUCUUUUUUAAAAAAGAUCCCUCUAACAAAAGUUCCUGGGAAAGACUGGAGGGAGGAGGAGGGAAAGACAGAGGCCAAGGAGAUCAAUUAGAGCCCUAUCGCAGGACAGGUAAUUAAAUCUCCUCCAUCUCUAAUGAAUGAAGAUGCAGCCCUGACAAGGAGUGUGUCUAGAGUGUGAUGGGUAAAAUUAAAAUGAUCACAUUGUCCGUUUUAAGGAUCUAGCUCUGCCCAACUACACAAAGUCAUCUGAUAAAACUUGUAAAACAAGAAGUGGCUGGAAAGAUCCCAAGGCAUUAUUUGGCCCACCUGGGAGAUCACAUCAAAGGCAGUGGAGUGGAACAUUCUUUCUCAUGUCCUGGAAGCACCUCCCAGAUUCCGAAGAAAGAGUCUAUUGUACUCUUGGAGGCACAGAAAGUCACAGACUAACCUUUAGGGAAGGAAUUUUGGUGUUUUUGUUCUUGUCUAAAUUAGAUAAGCUUGUGUCUUUAGGACAACACCUGUGGUAAAUUCCUUAUAUGCUAUGCCAAGGAAAAAGAACUGCUUAUCAUAACCCCAGAGAAAUCCUUCUCUACCAGAAAGCAGGCUCCACUUGCUCUUGCUGCCCACCACUCGUGCAUCAUCAAACGCACAGUGGAGGAUCAGUGAGUAUUUGACUGGCUUAAAAAGUGUAUCAAAUUUUGUACAGAUCACAGAUGGUAAUGGAGCUACGUACUUAACUCCAUAUUCUAAACUCUGCCAAGAGCUUUUAGUGUGCAAUUAACUAUUUAGGGAAAAGGAGGAGGUUCUACCACACUACCCAGGAAUAAUAUUUACACCAAGCCCUGGUGUCGAGUUUGCUGGAAUAACUUUGGUAAGGAAAAUGGUGACAGCUAAGUCAGAAAGAUGAGGUGGCCUCUCCUCUUUGUCACUCUUCCCGUUACUGUUUUCAGGAGCCUGUUUGCAGGAGCCUCUUUCCUGUCCACUCCUUUUGUUCUCCGCUCACUUUCAUUCAAGAUUCUUCGCAGGGAACCAUGGAGGUGUGGAGGGGAAGGGAGGGAAUUAGCAGGAAGGUCCAUUUUCCCCUUGCUAGCCUGGGCCACUGCCAGCUCUCAUCAGAGUACAAGAGGGGAAUUGGAGAGAAGACCCCGAGAGGAAAGAGAGGUGGAGGCAAAAUGAGGACCCAGGCAAUCUGGGGAAGAGCCUGCUUAGCCCAGGGGAUAAAGACUGAGAUAAGAAGUGAAGAGAAACCACUCUAAUGGGCAGCCAGCCAGCCACCCUGGCCCUUUGCUGACUUUCCCUUACUUUUGCUUUGUCAUUUCACUGGUAGUAGCACCUUUCUUGGAAAGAGAGAGAAGACAUUUGAGCUCAUUAACUUUGGAUAUUUAGUUGUUCACUGUUAAAUGCCAUAUUCGUUUUCUAUUGCUGCUAUAACACUACCACAUACCUAAUGAUUUCAAACAAUACAGAUUUAUUACCUUAAAAUUCUGGAAGUCAGAAGUCUGAAAUUGUCUCUGGGCUAAAAUCGAGGUGUCGGUGGGGCUUUCUGAAGGAAAGGGAGGCUGCGCUUCUUCGCCUUUUCAGCUUCUGGAGGCUGCCUGCAUCCCUUGGCUCAUGGCUCCCUUCCUUCCUCUUCACAGCCAGCAAUGGCAGAUCAGGUCCUCAUAGCACAUCACUCUAACCUCAAGUCUGAGAAAUGAAUCUCUGAUUCUACUUUUCUGCCUCCCUAAUCCGUGUAAUUGUCUUGGGCCCACCAGGUAAUCCAGGAUAGCCUAUUUUAAGGGCAGCUAAUUAGCAACCUUCACUCCACCAAUAAUCGUAAUUCUCCUUUGCUGAGUCAUCUAACAUAUUCAUAGGUUCUGGGGAUCAGGAUGUGGACAUCAAGGGGUGAGGGAGGGUGGGGUUGUUCUGUUGGCCUGAAACACUGUAUAACCUUACUGAAAAUACACUGUUUCAAAUGUUUCCUAGUAUUCCUGAAAACCCCUAAGAACUCUGAAUGUCAGUUAUUUCUUUCUUUUUCCUCUUAUGGGUUUGCUGGAAACAGAAGUAACAAACCUAACCAUCCAUCAUUUAAACAAGGGAAGAUUUAUUGCUUUUGACUAAAGAGACAUUUGUCACAAUAGCAAUACUAUACCCUUCGGCAAAGACAGAGCCCCUCUGGCAGGGCUGCAGCAUGCUAUUAGCACGUCACCUGGCCCCACCCUCUUACCAGUGCUGCACCAUUUUCAGCGGUCUUGCAUCUUUGCCCCAGAGGGCAGUCUAGAGGCUAUGGCACUCUAAUGAAGGGGCACAUACAGAUCCACCAUCCUAGGGGGCCCGGCCAUUUAUUUGGAUCAGUUUUACAGUUUCUGUAGAAUUGAAAGGCUGUCAUAUAGAGUGACUCCUGGCCACUUAUUUGUCGAUCCGAGCAAUGUAAUACAAUUGCUGCUACAAUUGCUAGCAAACUAAGAGGAUACUCUAGUCCUAGACAGGCUAGAGAGACUUUAAGCAACAAGUAAAGGCUUUGUUUGGAUACUGUUUUUGACAAUGUUGGUAGACAUCACCAUUAGGAAGGGACAAUAAAGAGCUAAAAUUACCAAAGCAUAAUUUUUUAAGAAAAUAAUACAUUCUGCCUUUUCUCUUUUCCUGGGCCAUUUCCUGGUUAUUCCUUUAAACUGGCAAUAGAACCACUUCCCUGAUGACAAAAGCCUAUUCUCAAAUUGAUAGGGUGUAUACACAACUUCAAGAGCUUAGAAUGGUAACUGCUUGGUGUGUGUGUUUGUGUGAAAGAGAGAGAUCAAGAUUGAGAUUAUAUGGGUGUAUCAAGCAUGUGAAAGAGGCCUUUUAGACUACUUCCAAUAGCUACCAUUUAUGAACACCUUCCUUGUGUCAGGACUUUGCCAGGCACUUUAGGUAUAUUAUCUUCGGUCUUCAGAAAAACCUUUCAUGGUAGGUAUUAUAAACAAGGAAACUGAGGGUAAAUGAGAUAAAGAAAUUCUCUUGAGAUCACAGAGCUAUCAAAUAGCAGAGAGGAAAUAACCCUCUGGCCACCUCACCUAAAGUCCUUGCUCCCUUUGCACAGAUUAACUCACUCUUGAAUCAUCUACACCUCUAAGGUAAGCGGUGGCAAUGAAAAUACAUAGAAGGCCCUGAAGUCACAUUUGUCCAUGCUGCCUCAAUCAACUAACUCCGUAGCCAGCGCUGAUGCUCCCAAUUUCCUAAUUAGUGACUUGCCUCAAGUCCCAUGAUAAGUCAGCAGGCUAUAACUGUGAGUGCACCCC
ensembl:lncRNA